GUGGGAGAAUGACAUCACAUCUGAUACUUCUCUGACGUUGUCGUUUAAGGUAAGAUGUUUCCCGUCAUCAUACACACGACGAAAGGACGAGCUGAUGUAUCAAUACUUCCGAACCUACUACAUAGUCACAUACAUCAUAUGAAGUAAGUUCUUUGAAUUGGUUAAGUGAAAGUUUCCGUUUAGUUGUAUUUUAAUAUGGAAUGUUUGAUUCAUUAUGAUAUGCAUUAAAGCGAAAUGAAAUGAUUUAUAAUGAUCAUCGUAUAUUCUAUUUUAAUAUUUGCGACGGGGACGUAUCCCACUUAGGACUUAGACUUUCUUCCAAAAAACGGAGUACAUGUACUUAGUUGCACUUAAACAUUAAUGAUGAAUGUCGGAAACAUCAGUCAAUUGUUCAUUUCCUGUAUUCAAAGUUUACGAAUUUAGUUAAACAUCUAUAACUUUUAAGAUGAAAUCAUAGACUGUUGUAUGAUUAAUCCUCAGUGGCAAAUAUUUCAUGCAUACCGCUUAAAAUGACAUGAUUUCUUACAUCAAUGUUAGAAUGUACAUAUUUUUUAAAAAGCUUCAACAAAGCAGUUCUUUCUCCAAAAUGCCAAUACUGGGCAUGUUGCGUGUAUUUAGUGUUCAAUGAACACUUCAAUAUAAUAUAAGAGAGAGUACUGUAUCAGUGUGACUAUUUACCACAAGAGUUCAAAUGACUGACGAGUAUAUAAGCGAUUAAAGGUCACCAUACGCAUACGGCCUUCAACAAUGAAACAACUUAUACCGUAUAGUCGGUUAUAAAAGGGCUUCGACAUAAAAAUGUGAAACAAAUGGAUAUGAUAUAUUUGGUCUUAUAUUACCUUUGUAUCAUGAUACUUAUUUACACAAAUUUAUUUCUGCUGUGUAAACCGCCCAGUUUGUAUCAUAUUUAUCUAAUAAAUAAACCUCCAUCUCAUGUAAUUGGUAUUACAAUCAAAUUUUGGUUUUUCGUGUUUACCUACAUGUAGGCGUUGACUGUUAUCACGAUCAACGUGCAGAGUGCAAUUUUUCUGUCUUUUAUCAAAGUCAAAGUUGACAGUGGACUGAAUAAACAUAAUGGUGCAAGUCUUUGAUAUUAAUAAGAGUUCCUAAAUAAAAUAUACCUACAAAAUAUAUUGUAAAACUUUUUUACAUGUAAAAACUAUAGUGUUUUGGAUCUUCUUAUUAUCUAACUUUCAGACUUGAAGUAUUUUAACACCACUGGUGAUGGAUCAGCUAACGUUUUCGGUGCGCACAUGAGAUUCCCUGGUUUUAAAAAGAUUGUGUUGUUUCUUAGUCCUUAAUAUUCUAUGUAGGGUUUUUAUGUACUUUUGUUUGAUUUUUGUUAGUGUUGAUGCGACUUGAUGGUCAGUGUAACUUCAUACUUUUACUAAAGAGGUCAAUAUAUGAACAUUUAAACUUGCAGAAAUAUAUAUUUUUAUUUCAUUGGUAUCAGCACAGUUUUACUUUUUGAACUAUUGAACCAAUAAAGGGCUUCAUGUUAAGAUAUCAAUGUGAAAUUCUAAGGAUGUCUAUUUCCAAGAAGUAAGAAAAGUUCACGGCUGGUUAAGUACAUCUAGUAUCGUUUACAUUUUGCGCGUAUAUCAUUUGUAAUGUUAACAAUUUAUGUAUACUAUUAGUUUAUAUUCAAUUCAAUUCAAAUCUUUAUUGCCAUAAAACUACAUAUUUAUAGUAUGUGACACAACAUAACGAAAUGAAAAUUUAUAUAAAUCUUUUGUGAAGUUGUAGAACAUGCCGAAUUUUCACAAUGUAUAAAACUCGGUAUAAAAUCUAUUCAAUUUUAAGACUGCAUUUUGACCAGUAGAUACCUCAAUAUUAUUUUGCGUUUAAUUGCUUUACCAUAGCCCACGUUCUGUUCUAUUUAUAGAGGAAAUUAGUUACAUGAACUAUGCGCUUGGCAGCUGUGGAAUUUUUUUUUAUAUAUAUAUUUUCUCAUAUGUCAACAGGAUAUACUUUAAAUUUUAAAACGAAUCACAAUUUGGGGAUUUAAUUUAAAUAUAUUGUAAAAUCACGAUCUAUAUCACGUAAAGACUGUAUGUUUGUGGGGGAUGGUAGGGGAAGGGGUGUAACAUCGAAAUGUCAACUUUAGACAUCCACUUAAGUUAAUAACAUAAUGUUGAAGUUUAUAGAAAAAUGAGCAAAUUUUCAAAAAUCACUGUUUUAAAUUAUAUGACAUUCAAAAUCUUGUAAAUAUUUCACUACUCGAUCAAUUUCUGAUCUAAGAUUUACAAAUAAUUUUAAAAGCUGCUCUUGAAGAAACCUAAAGCCAUUUGAAGGUUUAUUCACACGACUGAUGUAUGCUUGUAGCAUUAUACAAGGGAGAAACCAAGCUUGGAAUAAUCAAACCAAAAAGCAAUUUACAUGAUUCAGUUACAUCGAAACAUUGCAUCUUAUUGCAUUAAUCCGAUAUAAAUGUAGCACACUGUUUUUAUCCAUGAUGGUGUGCUUUAUAUAUCAGGUAUUUUUCAAGUUCUCAACAAUUUGACACUGGCAAGAUUUUCUCGUCAUAGUCUGCUUGCAUCGAGUGACAAAAAAGACCGACUUCAAACUUAUUAUGUGCUGCUUCUCCAUUUGGGGGAGGGCGGGGGUAAAAGCUAGACUUAGAGGUCCAGCGUGAGCAGAGCAGGAUGAUUAUAUCUUCGAAUAGAUUUUUGCCUUGUGAGUUUGCGACUUAUCUAUCAACCAAAUAACAUUGAUGGCCUAUAGCACAGCAGAAUACUUCAAUCUCGCAUUUCAAUACUUACUGCUACACGUUAAGCAUCUACUCCUUAAUCAUCAUAAUAAAACAAAUGUUUUAUGGAGCGUACAUGAUUAAACUUCAUUACGAAAUAUAUUUCGAGCCCGUUGAAAAUAUUCAAAGAUUCUUUCAUUUUAAAGGAAUAUUCCUGUUUUCAGUUCUAACACAAAGGUUUCUGGUUCGAUUCCCGUUCCGGGAUGAAAAUUUCAUGAACUGAAUUUUCGACUCUCCCUUGACACCAUUUGCGAGUACGAUGAUAGUCCGUUGGAAGGGGACGAUAAAUGUCUGACCCGUGUUAAGAGAGGGCCAUAGCUCUUGCACAUUAAAGAAACCCUUGUAGAUUUUCGAAAAAGAGCAGGCUAAUGCCGCUACAAGGCAGCACUCGCACCCAUAAAGUGGAAAGGGAUUAAUAUAAGUUGCAAAACUUGUUUCCCAAUUCACUUUAAAUAAAUAUGUUUCAACCUUUCAGUUGACAUCACAGAUUUUGAUCCUCUGACUUUUCAUUCGAUAGAGAUAAAGAUGAUAAAAUGAAAAAUUCAGAGGAUCAUAAAAAUGACAAAAAAACGAUCUGAGAUAUAUAUUGAAAACCUUUACAAUAUUGUGAAUAAUAACGAAAGUCGUUUUGUGAGCUCAAUAAAUAAUACUAAUUUAUACGUAUGUUUCUUUUUUUAUGAUUGGGACUGUUUUAUUGUCUGUGGCAUGCAUGAAAGUGGACAAUUCUUUAUAUAUAGGUGGUAUAAUAUUAAUACAGGUUCACUUUAUAUGAAAUGUACUACAGAGGGAUCUAAAAUUUGUGGUCUUUUAACAUAGGUGUUUGCUGAAUACAUGUGGUCUCUUUAAGUCAUAAGAAACGAGUGACUGUGAAAAAUAAUGUUCUUCCAAUUCUUGAACCAAUGCAUACAAACAUCAUAAACUUAGUCUUCUGUGUACGAAUUUAUCAUUUUUUUCGUGUAAAUUUCGUAUAAUCGUCAAUUUUUUUUUUCAAUCGGUCAGUGUUGUGAAAAUAUGGCAGGUAAUUAAAGUUCGUGUUUUGAAGCCGAAGUUUAACGAUUGUCACCUGUUUGUCAACAAUGGACAAAAAAAUCAACAAAAAAGCAGGGAAAUUGAGCACGUCUUUAACAUGUAAAUUCAGAUAAUAGUUUAUUUUAAGGACAUCCAUUCGUAUUGUGAUCACCGGAUUGUUACGAGAUGGGUCACACUGAGGUCACUUUGCAUACGGAAAAUAUGUCGGGCAAUUAAAAUAAAGUAAACUUCUUCUAAAUAUGAAUAAAUUAAAGAAUUUUCUUCAGAAAAAAAGUUAUGUACAUAAGUUUUAUAAUGAAAACUAUCCAUUGAGUUAUAAAAAAACAGAUGUAUCAUUUUUUUUUUAUUUGAGGUUUCUUAUGACUUUAAGCAGGUUUGACUGUAAUUUCUAAUAAUUUCAUUUCUGUUCCAUAAAGAAGAAGAUGUUUCUCGAUAAAAAUUUAGAAGGAAAACUGAAAUUCGACUGGCUAUUUACACUCAAAAGUAUAGGUAAUUCAUGACCUUUAAAUGUCGGUUACAGCAGUCAUUCAUUAUUGUUCAUUUCCUCUAAUAAGAAUAACACGCGUUCAGUUUUUUUGAUAUUACAAACAGGAUCAAAACUUUUAAAUCCGCUUAAGAAUAUUUAUACCGUGAAUUCAUAGUUCUGAAAAUAUUAUUAUGCGCCUUUGCAUGUGUUUUUAAGAAAGGAGUUUUGUUUACGAUGAUCAAGUUCACUACUGAUAUUCAGUAUUCAGUAGUAAAUUUAUAACCAAUAAAGAUGCAGCGCCAAAUUUCCUUGGUUUUGCUUCCCUCACAUGGUAAUAAGCGGUAAUUUUUCUGAAAAGUACCGAUAUUUAAAUUUGGCAGAACUUGAAAGAAAAGUACCGAUAAUUAAAUUUGACAGAGCCUCAAAAACAUACUUUGAAGGCCGUACAUUGACCUAUAAUGGUUUACUUUUAUGAAUUGUUAUUUGGAUGGAGAGUUGCCUCAUUGGCACUCAUACCACAUCUUCUUAUAUCUAUUUGAAGAUCUUUUUCAAUAUAUAUUCAGAGAAUAAAAACGUUUUCAAUCGCUUCCCUUUAUUAUCAAUUUGGAAUCAAUAUUACAUAUUUAGUAAAAAUAUUCUGUCAUCGAAGAACGUUAAUUAAAAUGACUCCAAAUAACUCACCAAAGAAACUGUGCUAAAAAAUUAAUACGCCAGACGCGCUUUCGUCUGCAAAAGACUCAUCGGUGACUUUUGAAUAAAAAAUUGAAGAGCAUGGAGUACCCACAACUCUGAAAGGAAUCAUUUGUGUCUUAUACAGUUUUUUGCUUUUAAGAAUUGCCGGUUUUUUAAAGAACAGUCAAUAUCUAUAAACUACCGAACAACCCUACGUCUUUCACCAGAUUUAAUUUUCUAUGAGGAUUCUAAUGCGUUAAGACGUACAUAUUCGAUCGUACUUUGUACAUUCAACCAUGAUAAUUUGUUUUUUAAAUAAGAUACUUUUUACUUUAAUAAUCCGCCCAGUUUAUAUCAUAUUAUCAUGUAAAUCACUCUCCAACCUACUUAUCAAGUCUUAAAUAUAGAGUUUUCGUAUUUAUCGUAGGUGUGGAAUGAAACCACGUUCGCUUUUCAAAGUACAAGUUUUCGUUUUUUUGAGUACAUGUGAAUAAACUCAUCACAAAAGCCAGGCUUGGAAACUCAAAAGCUAGAUACGCGUUUCGUCUGCAUAAGACUCGUCAGUAAUGCUAGAACUGUGAAAGUAAAAAGGCCCAAAAAAAAGUACGAAGCUAGAGAUCAUUUAGGAUCCAAAAUUCAAAGAGAUGUUGCACCCAAGGUUAUCUAUGUAGAAAAUAAUGUACGAACAUCCGGGAGUAUUAAACGUUCGAAAAUUACUGUGUAAAAAUAUGUAGUAUUGAUAGUAAAUCUUCUUGAAAUACCAGUAUAUUACUAGAAGAAAUCAUAAUGGAAAACGUUAUUAUAAAAAUAAAAUUUUAAUUUUAUCAUCGGUAUGACAAACACGAUUGAUCCCAUAAGUUGAAUAGAUCUUCAAUUUUCUGUGAAGUAUUUUAUAGACUAUUGGUUUUUUUUUCGUCUAAAUCUGCUUGGAAACGCUGUUGUCUUUUUCUUCUACUUUUGAUUUUUUAUUGUUCUCUUAAUCUCCGUUGUCUCUUUUCAAAUUGGAUCUAGAAAAAUCAAAAUCGUCCAAGUCAUCUUUACCACAAUCUGAACAAUAACCCUAUGUUACAGCCAUGCGACAUAAUUCUGUCCUCAAAACAUUCAACGGUGGUUUGGUAAAAAUAAAUGAGCAUGUAGCUUUGAUCUCUCUUGAAUUAUAUCCUGCAAUUUCUCAUGACAAUCAAUCCUACCGUGCAUUUUAAAUGUCACGUAAUCGACAUUGUACACCACAAGCCUCUCGUAUAUCUAGUAAGCAUAAAAGAAACCCCUUAAGUACCCCUUUGCCACAUCCGUCAGUUUAGAUACAUAUAUUAAUGGCUGUAAUGUUGCAGAAAGGCCGGACGUCCUUCUGCUUGUAGGUAGUUUCCCUUAAGAUGUAUUUUCCUCAUUUGGUUUACUAUUAUUUUCCCGUCAAAAAGUUAAACAAUUUUACUCUUGUUAAACACUAUCAUAAUAUCUACGGUUAGGCUUAGACCAUUAAAUUUGAUGCCAACUUUAAUUAUGAGUUAUAAGUUUUGCUAAACUAUAGUACUAUGUACUAUGCGCAUUUCAAUUACAUUACUUUGAUAUAAAUUAAUGAAAAUAUAUACAAACAUGGACCAAUUAAAGGGUGGAACACACUCUAUGUGUGAUAAUAUUAUCUGAAAUAUAGUUGCGUGCUUUUCGCGUUCUGAUCUUAACUAGUUUUUCUUUGUUGGUCUUUUGUAUGUUUAUGAAUUGUGUUAUCUGUUAUCUGUUUUACCGUGUUAAAAGCGAUCUGUCCUUUUCAUGUUUUGAUACUUAUUGUAUAUUCUUUAAUAAGUCUUGUACUCAAAUCGAGAUACAAAAGAAUCGGUUGAGAUUUGAAUUAUCCAGCAGAUUUUCGCCCCAUAUUUUGUGCCUUUUCUUAGUUCAGAAUUUCGUCAGUAGAUCGUUUUUUUGUCACAUGGAUUGAUUUCGAUGUUUUUUUGUGUGUGUUUUUUUUUCCAUUCGAGAAUCAGGCAUUUCUGGUAGAUCUCUAUUGAAAACCUUUUGUUUUAAUUGGGAAGUGUUUUAGCUUAAAUUGAUAAUUUGCUUUGAUAACCAUCUAUUUAUGAAGACCAUUAGUUGACCUCCUAGAUAUUUGUUUAUGUUGUUGAGUUUCUUUUUCAUUGUCAUAUGACCCAUAUCGUCUUUUGUUCGUAUUGGGUCGCUGCUUUGAAUGCUUUGAAUGCUGAACAUGUAUUUAUUUAACUAUUUUUACGAAAUGUCCAUGCAAAAUAUAGCAUCUGUGUGCAUUUAUACUCUUACUCGAGUAUUUAUAACUUUGCUGACUUUUUACGUCAUGUGUGUCCAUUAGUCUUAAUAUUGAUAAAACCUUUGCCCUAUCGUUAGGCCUAUUUAUCUCUAAGCUUAUACGUUUUGAUUGUGCAUGUUCACACUAUACGGACUAAGAUCACCGUCAGUUGUUUUUCUUUGUUAUGUUGUAUUCUGUUGUAUGUUCGUGAUUCGUAAGUUUUCGUUUAUUGCCAUUUCAUUGUCUUCAAAUAAUGAGUGAAAUAUCUUUGUUAUCUGCCGUCUCUUUUCGGCAAACCCGACUGCAAUCGAUUUUCUAAGUUUUUGUUUUUACCUUGAAUUAGAAUCUUUCAGUGAAUCUAUGAAAUUUGACCAUCAGUAAUCAAAUGUUCCCUGUUAUUGAUCAUAAAGGUCUUAUAUUCAUUCAUAAACAUACUAGAUUUUACAUUUUGAAUUAGCUUUUUGUGAAAGUUUAAGGUUGUACAAAACAACUCUGCUUACGCAUUUUUGUUAAUUUUAUUAGGUACACGUAGGGUUCAAUUUCACUGAGGACAAAGAACUGUACAAUUUAAAAAAUAUUUUAAUAUCAUGUUUGUUUCCUGAUUAUUUUUCAUCGCAGUAUGAUGCAACUCUACUUAAACAUAACAAUAUACUGACCUUUAUUCUUUCAUUUUUAUACAGGUGUGACGCAUUUCGUGGUAGUAAUACCUUUUACCUGUGAUUGGUUGAACUACACAAAAUAGCUUAAACAUGUUAAAUACAAC
rnacentral:lncRNA from 1 species